GGUCCAGUCGCUAGCUGAGAUCUGCUGGGCUUCUCGGGGUUUGGUAUCUUUUGCAGAACACCUUUUGGAAGAUUCGGACAGAGAAAACCACAGCAUUUCUCACUGAGCUUAAGUGCCCCAGAAUUUCGCGAGAGACUGUCAAAGCACGUGGUCAGGAAGCCCCUUCACUGCCAGCUGCAGUCUGUCCAGAAGAAGGGAGUGCUUCCUAAGCUGACAGAGGCCAAGGCUUGGCUAGAGCGCCUCUCCUCCCUUCCAUGGUGCUGAUAUCCUGACUGAUGGAAGCAGCAGAAGCGCUUCCUUCCCUCCUCCUCCUCCCACACAGAGGCCUGCCGGGAGCUAUCCGACCCAAGCGUUAGCCUGCAAUGCCACCUAGCAGACACAGAGUGAACUUGGAGAAGAAGAAGGCAGGUUUAGGGAGAGUUGUUUUGUAACACCAGAAAAGGGAGUUUCCAUUUCAUUCAUGGAGUUCUGGGAAAUGGAAUUUGUAUAAAACCUUUUUUGCUCAUGAUGGAAAACAUUUAUUCGGAGCUAAUGAGGGAAUUUGGCCCACAGGCAAUUCUAAUCCAAACUUAGGAGGACAGGCGUUAGGUCUCCAAACUUGACUCUCUUUUUAGUUCACCGCUGUGACAAUGCAGUUUGUGCAUCCAGAAGAACUCCACUCUGCCUUGUGUGACAGGCUGUGACAUUAAUAAAGGGCUGAAUGGUCUUUGUCU